CCUUGAAAAAUAUUAAUAUAUUGUGAAAAUUGCAUUUAACCCUCUAUAAAAAAUUUAUUACAUACAAAUCCUUAUUUUUCCCCCUAAAUUUCAAGGGGGCAAUUAUCCUUUUUUGCCACCCCUGGCUACGCCACUGCGCACCGACGUACGGCGCAUCUGAAAAUUAAAGUAUUUUUUUAUACCAUUUCCUUAAUACCAUUUGUUUUAACCUAGUCACCCAAUCCAUUGAUCCAAUUUGAGUACCUUCUAGCUAAGCCUGUAAAUUUUUUAAAAUUUAAUAUCUGAUAUUUAUGAUAUUACAGAAAAAUAAUGAAAAAUUUAAUAAUUAAAACAUAAAUGAUCCUAAAUAUAAAUAAAGGAUAACCUAAAUCUAUUGAUCUUGAAAGCUCAAUAAAAUUAUUCCUAUUCGAUUCAUCUUACAUAUAUAUUCAUUAAUUACUUUCCCAGUGAUGGUUGUUGUGGUGGUCCCAUUAUCGGUAACGUAUUAGAGAUAAUUCUGAUAUAUCGCGCUACUGAUAUCACCUCCCAUACUUUCAUUUUUAUCUGCUUCAUCUAUCUUACUAGAGAACAUCGCCAUUAAAUCAGUCCUGCUAUCACAUCUUUCCUGCAUUUUUGGAAACCUCUCUCCACCAUUCUUCAAACUUCCGACCUCAUUAUUGCUACCGUAAAUGCUUGGGUCAAGGCCAGCGUAAAGGGACGAUUCAGACAUGCCAUAAUUACCUCCACCUAGGUUGGACAUUGAAUAGCUAGUUUCUCCAACCGUAGGAUAAAUGUAAUGGGGCAGUUGGAUCCAUCAUAACAGUGUAAUCAUUUUCACAAUCAUUAUUUCUUCCGAUCGAUAUAGCAUAUCUAUCGUUGUCUAUUCCGAGACCAAAUACCACUAGAACUAGCACCAUUGAUAUCCAUACACAUCCGUUUAUUUGGCGAUUGUUGCGCAAGUGGGGUUGUCUUUGUUGUUGUGGUUGAUGUGCAUGUUGCGGUUGUUGCGUUUGCUGUGAUGGGGAGUUAUUUAGUCUCUCUCCUUCUGACUCUCGAUACUUCUCCAGAUAAAUCUAAUGGAACAAAAUACAUUCGAAAAGAGAUUUAAUUAAAAUAAUAUCUGAUAGUUUGUGAAAUAUUUUGUUAAUUGUGAUCAAACGAGAUAAACCUUUAGAGGAAUAGUAUAUGAAUCAAAGUCGAGACGGUUCAUGGACCAAAGAAGGUCAUCCCCGUUGAUAGUUUUACGUUUCUCACUGUGACACUUUUCAGACGCUUCACCGAGAUAAAACUAACAUACUCCGAAACACAUUCUUGAAUCGUUUCUUUGGCUUCUUUCGAGAUCUUAGCAUUUAUCGGCAGAGCUCUCUUCAUGAUCCGGCUCACAUUUGCUAUUGGAAGAAAUCGAUCAUUUGAGGCUGCAUCCCUUUUGGAAUUACUAUUAGAUGAACUCCCGACCAUUGAGUUAUUGGUUGCAAGCCCUCUUCAAUUCCGUUGUUCACGCCUUCAGAUGUUUCUCUGACCAUGUUUGUGAAAAGGAUUUAUAAGAAUGUUUAAGCCUAUUCCCAAAAUUCUUGUCCAACCAUAAAAUAGAAAUUUCAAUGUCCUCUGGCCACCAAUAGAUUUUUUUUAGCUAUCAAUAGUUUUCUUUAGCUAUCAACCACCUAAUUUUGAUGCAACAUAUAUAGAUAUUAUUGAUUAAAAAUUCAAAUUAUGUACUUGGUCGACAAUAGGGUGUCAGACGAGCCGAGCCGAGCUUUGGCUUAUUGAGCCGGGCUCUGGCUCGGCUCGUUAAGGAGUAAUCCAGACUCGGGCUCGAAGUCGCCGAGCUUGGUUUGGCCGAGCUCGGGUUCAGCUCGUUAAUGAUUUGCCGAGCCGAAGUUCGAGCCCUAACCCGAGCCCUAGUUGAGCUCAUCGAGUCGAGUUUUAUUUGACACCCUAGUCUACACUAAUCCUUUUGUCCAAUGUCUAUUAUGAAAUUCGGUCAUAUUUUCCGAGGCGGGUAUCGUGGCAAGACAUUCCCGAGUUUGGCCCAGUCUUCAUAGACCGAGACUCACUCGAAACUCGAAACUCGAAAUUUUCUAUGAAAAAACCAUCCUAAAAUAUAAAUGAAAUUAAUUUAACCUAUUACCCUCUAAUUAAUUUAAUUUCAUCAAUUAACCUAUUUUUAAUUUAUCUAAUUUGACCCUGCUUAUUUGUGUUAGUGUUUUUUGUUGUACAUUUUUUUCGUCUACAUGUGUUAGUGUUUUUUGUUGUAUCUUUUUUUUCGUACAUGUGUUAGUUAGUGUCUUGUGUAAUACAUUAUCGUAGUUAAUGGAUAAAAAAUUAAAAGAUAGGAUACGUUCGGUGCAUUUUGGCGCACCGACAGUGGCGUAUCCAGGAUUCUCCGACAGGGGAGCAAUAUUCGUCGAAGGCGAAUUUUGUUUUUGUACUGAUUAAAAAAUAAAAUUUUUGCAUGACCUAUUCAUAAAAUCGAUUAUAAAAACCUAUAAAAAUUCAAUGCAUUCAAUCCAUACAAUAAUUAAUAUUCAAUAAAAUAAACACAUUUAUUUAAUUUACAAUAAAAAUUUCUAAUAUAUUAAACAUUACUUCAAUGUCCUACGACACAUAUCAUUAAAUAUUUUUAAAAUGAUUUCAUUGUUAUAUUUUUAAAAAUAUCUUUUUCGAUAUAUAUUAUUAAACAAUCAUUCAUCAAACUAUCACCAAACUUAUAUAUUAAAUUUAUUUUAAUAUGUAAAUAUAAAAUAUUUUAAUAUAUUAAUAUUAAAUAUAUUAAAUAUUAGGAGUGGGAGAGGGAGAGGGGAAAAGAAUAUAUUAAAUACUGUGAAAGUUAUAUAUUAAUAGGGUGUCGAAUAAAGCCCGGCUCGGCGGGCUCAGCUCGGGCUCGGCUCAUUUAAGCUCGGGCUCGUAAGCCCGAGCCCAAUCCUCAAGCUCGUUUAGCUUAACCAGCCAAGCUCGAGCUUGGACAUGCAGCUCGGCUCGUUAAGCUCGGUGGCUCGGUAAGAUCGAAGUAUAAAUAUAUAUAUAUAUUAUAUUUAAAGAGAAUAUAGAUGUAGCAUAGAUGGUAAAACGUUUGUUAAUCCUACGAGAGGUCACGAGUUUGAUCUCUCAUGUCUUCAAAUAAUUAUUUCUUUUAAUUCGAUCCCAGGCUCGCGAGCUUCAAGCCUGAGCCUGACAAUUCCUAAAACGAGCCGAACCCAAGCUCAAGCCAGUAUAACACCUUAACGAGCCGAGCCCGAACCUGAUUCUAUAAGCAAAAGCUCGGCUCGGCCCGACUCGUUUGACAUCCUAUAUAUUAACCCUUAAAAAAUAUUAAUAUAUUAUGAAAAUUGCAUUUAACCCCCUAUAAUUUUUUUAUUACAUAUAGGUCCUUAUUUUUCCCCAAAUUUCAGAUGGGGCAAUUACCCUCCCUUGCCACCCCCUGGCUACGCCACGUCGCACCUGAAAAUUACUGUAUUUUUUUUAUACCCUUUCAUGAAUAUCAUUUCUUUUAACCCUAGUCACCCAAUCCUUUGACCUAAUUUGAGUACCUUCUAGCUAAGCCUGUAAUUUUUUUAAAAUUUAAUAUCUGAUAUUUAUGAUAUUACAGAAAAAUAAUGAAAAAUUAAAUAAUUAAAACAUAAAUUAUCCUCAAUAUAAAUAAAGGAUAACCUAAAUCUAUUGAUCUUGAAAGCUCAAUAUAUUAUUCUUAUUCGAUUCAUCUUACAUAUAUAUUCAUUACUUUCCCGGUGAUGGUGGUUGUGGUGGUUCCAUUGUCGGUAACGUAUCAGAAUAGAGAUAAUUUUGAUAUAUCGCGCUACUGAUAUCACCUCCCAUACCUUCAUUUUUAUUUGCUUCAUCUAUCUUACUAGAGAACAUCGCCAUUAAAUCACCUGCUUCUUCAGUCCUGCUAUCACAUCUUUCCCGCAUUAUUGGAAACCUCUCUCCACCAUUCUUCAAACUUCCGAACUCAUUAUUGCUACGGUAAAUACUCGGGUCAAAGCCACCGUAAAGGGACGAUUCAGACAUGCCAUAAUUACCUCCACCUAGGUUGGACAUUGAAUAGCUAGUUUCUCCAACCGUAGGAUAAAUGUAAUGGGCAGUUGGAUCCAUCAUACCAGUGUAAUUAUUUCCAUAAUCAUUACAGUUUCUUCCGGUCGGUAUAGCAUAUCUAUCGUUGUCUAUUCCGAGACCAGUACCACUAGAACUAGCACCAUUGAUAUCCAUACGCAUCCGUUUAUUUGGCGGUUGUUGCGCAAGUGGUGGUUGUCUUUGUUGUAUUGGUUGAUGUGCCUGUUGCGGUUGUUGCGUCUGCUGUGAUAGAGAGUUAUUUGAUCUCUCUCUUUCUGACUCUCGAUACUUCUCCAGAUAAAUCUAAUGGAACAAAAUACAUUCGAAAAGAGAUUUAAUAAUUAAGAUAAUGUCUGAUAGUUUGUGAAAUAUUGUGUUAAUUGUGAUCAAACGAGAUGAACCUUUAGAGGAAUAGUAUAUGAAUCAAAGUCGAGGCGGUACAUGGACCAAAGAAGGUCAUCGCCGUUGAUAGUUUUACGUUUCUCACUGUGACACUUUUCAGACGCUUCGCCGGUGAUAAAACUAACAAACUCCGAUACACAUUCUUGAAUCGUUUCUUUGGCUUCUUUCGAGAUCUUGGCAUUUAUCGGUAAAGCUCUCUUCAUGAUCCGGCUCACAUUUGCUAUUGGAAGAAAUCGAUCACUUCGGGAUGCAUCCCUUCCGGGAUUACUAUUAGAUGAACUCCCGACCAUUGGAUUAUUGGUUGCAAGCUUCCUUCAAUUCAGUUGUUCACGCCUUCAGAUGUUCCUCUGACAUGGUUUGUGAAAAGAAUUUAUAAGAAUGUUUAAACCUAUUCCCAAAAUUCUUGUCCACCCAUAAAAUAGAAAUUUCAAUGUCCUGUCCACCAAUAGAUUUUUUUUUAGCUAUCAAUAGUUUUCUUUAACUAUCAACCACCUAAUUUUGAUGCAAUAUAGAUAUUAUUGACUAAUAAUCCAAAUUAUGUACUUUGUCGACACUAAGGUGUCAAACGAGCUGAGCUUUGGCUUAUUGAGCUAGGCUCGGGCUCAGCUCGUUAAGGAGUAAUCCAGGCUCGAGCUCGGGCUCGGCUCGUUAAUGAUUUGCCGAUACCGAGCCCUUGCCGAAGUCAUCGAGUCAAGAUUUAUUUGACACCCUAGUCGACGCUAAUCGUUUUGUCCAAUGUCUAUUACGAAAUUCGGUCAUAUUUUCCGAAGCGGGUAUCGUGGCAAGACAUUCUCGAGUUUGGCCCAGUCUUCAUAGACCGAGACUCACUCGAAACUCGAAAUUUUCUAUGAAAAAUCCGUCUUAAAAUAUAAAUGAAAUUAAUUUAACCAAUUACUCUCUAAUUAAUUUAAAUUCAUCAAUUAACCCAUUUUUAAUUUAUCUAAUUUACCUCUGUUUAUUUUUUAGGGCAGGUUUCCUAUACUGAUUAAAAAAUAAAAUUUUGGAUGACCAAUUCAUAUUGAUUAUAAAAACUAGCUUAUAAAAAUUCAAUACAUUCACUCCAUACAAUAAUUAAUAUUCAAUACAUUAAUUAAUAUUCAAAUUAAAAAUAAACACAUUUAUUUAAUUAACAAUAAAAAUUUCAAGAAAAUUAAUGAUUAUUUCAAUAUCCUAUGACGAGGACACAUAUCAUUAAAUAUUUUUAAAAUGACUUCAUUGUCUAUAUUUUUAAAAACAGUUUUUUGAAUAUAUGUUAAUAAACAAUCAUUCAUCAAACUAUCACCAAAUUUAUAUAUUAAAUUUAUUUUAAUAUAUAAAAUAUAAAAUAUAAAAUAUUUUAAUAUAUUAAAUAUUGAGAGUGGUAGAGGGAGUGGGGAAGAGAAUAUAUUAAAUAUUGUGAAAUUUUGUAUAUUAACCCUUGAAAAAUAUUAAUAUAUUGUGAAAAUUGCAUUUAACUCCUUAUAAAAAAAUUAUUACAUACAGGUCCUUAUUUUUUCCCCCAAAAUUCAAAGGGGGUAAUUAUCCUCUCUUGCAGCCCCUAGCUACGCCACUGCGCACCGACAGUGGAUCUGAAAAUUAUCGUAUUUUUUUAUACCAUUUCCUUAAUAUCAUUUGUUUUAACCUAGUCACCCAAUCCAUUGAUCCAAUUUGAGUACCUUCUAGCUAUAUAAGCCUGUAAAUUUUUUAAAAUUUAAUAUCUGAUAUUUAUGAAAUUACAGAAAAAUAAUGAAAAAUUUAAUAAUUAAAACAUAAAUUAUCCUAAAAUAUAAAUGAAGGAUAACCUAAAUCUAUUGAUCUUGAAAGCUCAAUAUAUUAUUCUUAUUCGAUUCAUCUUACAUAUAUAUAUAUUCAUUAAUUACUUUCCCGGUGAUGGUGGUUGUGGUGGUUUCAUUGUCGGUAAUGUAUCAGAAUAGAGAUAAUUUUGAUAUAUCGCCCUACUGAUAUCACCUCCCAUACCUUCAUUUUUAUUUGCUUCAUCUAUCUUACUAGAGAACAUCGCCAUUAAAUCACCUGCUUCUUCAGUCCUGCUAUCACAUCUUUCCUGCAUUGUUGGAAACCUCUCGCUACCAUUCUUCAAACUUCCGAACUCAUUAUUGCUACGGUAAAUGCUCGGGUCAAGGCCAGCGUAAAGGAACGAUUCAGACAUGCCAUAAUUACCUCCACCUAGGUUGGAAAUUGAAUAGCUAGUUUCUCCAACCGUAGGAUAAAUGUAAUGGCCAGUUGGAUCCAUCAUACCAGUGUAAUCAUUUCCAUAACCAUUACAGUUUCUUCCAAUCGGUAUAGUAUAUCUAUCGUUGUCUAUUCCGAGACCAGUACCACUAGAACUAGCACAAUUGAUAUCCAUACACAUCCGUUUAAUUGGUGGUUGUUGCGUAAGUGGGGGUUGUCUUUGUUGUUGUGGUUGAUGUGCCUGUUGCAAUUGUUGCGUCUGCUGUGAUGGGGAGUUAUUUGAUCUCUCUCCUUCUGACUCUCGAUACUUCUCCAAUUAAAUCUAAUGGAACAAAAUACAUUCGAAAAGAGAUUUAAUUAAGAUAAUGUCUGAUAGUUUGUGAAAUAUUUUGUUAAUUGUGAUCAAACGAGAUAAACCUUUAGAGGAAUAGUAUAUGGAUCAAAGUCGAGACGGUUCAUGGACCAAAGAAGGUCAUCGCCGUUAAUAGUUUUACGUUUCUCACUGUGACACUUUUCAGACGCUUCACCGGUGAUAAAACUAACAAACUCCGAGACACAUUCUUGAAUCGUUUCUUUGGCUUCUUUCGAGAUCUUGGCAUUUAUCGGUAGAGCUCUCUUCAUGAUCCGGCUCACAUUUGCUAUUGGAAGAAAUCGAUCAUUUGAGGCUGCAUCCCUUUUGGAAUUACUAUUAGAUGAACUUCCGACCAUUGGGUUAUUGGUUGCAAGCCCCAUCAAUUCCGUUGUUCACGCCUUCAGAUGUUUCUCUAACCAUAUUUGUGAAAAGGAUUUAUAAGAAUGUUUAAACGUAUGCCCAAAAUUCUUGUCCAAUCAUAAAAUAGAAAUUUCAAUGUCCUCCCGGCCACCAAUAGAUUUUUUUAGCUAUCAAUAGUUUUCUUUAACUAUCAACCACCUAAUUUUGAUGCAACAUGGGAUAUUAUUGACUACAAAUACGUACAAAUUACGUACUUGGUUGGUGUCAAACGAGCCGAACUGAGCUUUGGCUUAUUGAGCCGUGUUCGGGCUCGACUCGUUAAGAAGUUAUCCAGGUUCAGGCUCAAACUUGUCGAGCUUGAUUUGAUCGAGCCCGAGCCCAUCGAGCCGAGGUUUAUUUGACACCCUAGUCGACACAAAUCAUUUUGUCCAAUGUUUAUUAUGAAAUUCGGUCAUAUUUUCCGAGGCGGGUAUUCGUUGUACACAUAUUAGUUAAUGUCUUGUGUAGUAAAUUAUUAUAGUUGUUGGAUUAAAAAUUAAAAGACAUGAUACUUUUGACGUAUUUUGGCGCACCAACGUACGGCGCACCUGAAAAUUAUCGUAUUUUUUUAAACCCUUUCCUUGAUAUCAUUUCUUUUAACCCUAGUCACCCAAUCCAUUGACCCAAUUUGAGUACCUUCUAGCAACCCAAAUUCUAUGUCAAUUGUAAAUAGAUAAUUAGGGUUUUAAAUAACGCAAUACUUAAAAAUUAGUUUAUAGAAAAGGGAAAUAACACAAACAUCAAGAGGUGAUAUAUUAAAUGAUCCUGACAUAUCACCCAGAGAUAAAGAUUUUAACAUCAUUAUAAAAAAAAAUUAACAUACCAAUAUUUGAAUUUUAUUAAAAAAAAAUCAAAAUUCGUCGUAGAUCAUCGACCAUUAUUGGAACAUCUUUUCUUGAAACCUCAAAAAAUUAUUCUUAUUCAAUUCUUCUUACUUAUAUGUUCAUUACUUUCCCGGUGAUGGUGGUUCUAUUUUCGGUGAUGUAUCAGGGUCGUAGAGAUAAUUUUCGAUAUCAUCAUUUUCGAUAUCAUCAUUUUCGGUACCAUCAUUUUCAUUUUCUUCACCAAUCUUAAUAGAGAACUUCGCCAUUAAAUCACCUUCAUCGGUCAUUGUAUCAAUUCCUUCCUGCAUUAUUGAAAACAUAUCUCCUUCAUUGUUCAAAUUUCCGACCUCAUUAUUACUACGGCAAAUGCUCGGGUCAAGGCCACCGUAAAGAGACGAUUCAGACAGGUCGUAAUUACCUCCAACUACGUUGGAAAUUGAAUAGCCAAUUUCUCCGAUCGUAGGAUAAGCGUAAUGGGCAUUCGGAUCCAUCAUACCAGUGCAAUCAUUUCCAUAAUCAUUAUUACAGUUGUCUAUUUCGAGACCAGUACCACUAGAACUAGCACCAUAGGUAUCCAUACUCAUCCGAUUGGUUUGUGAUUGAUGCGCAAGUGGGGAUUGUCUCUGUUGUUGUUGCAGUUGUUGUUGUUGCGAAUCUAGCGUCUGAUAUGAUGAGAAGGUAUUUGAUUUCACUCCUUCUGACUCUCGAUAUUUCUCCAAAUAAAUCUAAUGAAAUAAAAUACAUUCAAAAAGAGAUUUAAUUAAAAUAAUGUUUGAUAGUUUGUAAAAUAUUUUGUAAAAUAUUUUGUUAAUUAUGAUCGAACGAGAUGAACCUUUAGAGGAACGGUAUAUGGCGAAAAAUCGAGACGAUUCAUGGACCAAAGAAGGUCAUCGCCGUUGACUGUUUUACGUUUCUCACUUCGACACUUUUCAGCGGCUUCGCCAGUGAUGAAACUAAUGAACUCCGACACACAUUCCUGAACCGUUUCUUUGGCUUCUUUCGAGAUCUUGGCAUGUGUCGGUAGAGCUCUCUUCAUGAUCCGACUCACAUUUGCAAUUGGAAGAAAUCGAUCAAUUGAAGGUACAUCAUUUCCUGGAUUAAUGUUAGAAGCACUUCUAGUCAGGAUCAUUGGUCUAUUGGUCGCAGAAUCUCCUUCAAUUCGGUUGAAAUCAUCUUUAUAAGUUUCAUCGGGCAUAUUUUAAGAUCGGUAUCUAAAUAAAUUUCUAUUUUUGUGGAAGAAAUUUCUAUCUUUGUCAAUUGACCUAUCUUUAGCCAUCAAUCCUAAUUAUUUAUAUCGAAGGAAUGAAUGAAUAUUACAAAUUAAAUUAACAAUAACAAUAAAAAAACUAUAUUAGUACCAACCAACUAACUAACUGUAUUUUUAACCGACAAAAUUAGUUUCUUUAUUAACUCCCUCUAAUAAAUGAUUAGUUUGGAUAAUUAAGUUACGAUUAGUUUUUUUAAUUAUCAUUAAAGAUGCAAAAUGUUAUAAUUUAUAAAUUUAUAUAUAACUUCUUAAUAUUAUUUACUAUUGACGGUCUAUUUAUAAAAUUUUAAAAAUAUUUGUUAAGUUUUAAAGAAUAAACAAAACUACAAACUAACAAAAGUUAGAAACCAAAAACUAUCGUCGUUAACUCGUUAUUCCCAUUCCCCGCUAUUUCGGUUAGGUUUUAUCUCUUUUUUUUAGGGUUUUCACCCCUCACCCUCACAACGCUCACAGGAAGUCAUGAAUCACAACCUCACAGCGUUCACACUUCACAGCCACAGGUAUUUCUUAUCUUCUUAUUAAUUUCGAUCUCUUCUUUUCUCUUUCUUAAUUUCUUCAUUAGAUCUCUCUAAAUUUUUUGUGGAUCUUUCCAUGUCUAAUGUCUUUUUUUGAACAGAUUAUCUUCCUGACUUCCUUGAUCUGAUCUGUAGAUUAGUUAUAAUAAUAAUGAUUUGUAGACUGGUUAUAUUUUUUUUAACCAUCAAAAUCCGAGUCGUCUAGUAAAGGACGUAAUGUCAUAAGAACACCGAUGAAAAUAAAAAAACGUGCUAAAGAUAAUAUGAGAAAUUAAAAUUUCAAAAUAAAAUAAAUAAAAUAUAUACCUAAACACCUGUAUUUGAAAUCUUUGUAUGACACACCAACCAAAUAUUUUUACUAUUGUAAUUUACAUAUUUUAUUAUCAUAUCUUCGAAGUCGUUGUCAACUGUGUUGUAUUUGAUUUUGAAUGAAUGCGUGCCUCCAGAAUCUUCAACAUCCUGUUACAGCGCCGGUGAACUCAAAGGAGGCGGUCAGAGACCUAGCGGAGACCUUGGACUUGAACGACGAAGUAACCAAAGAAGAAACGGUUGAAGAAGCAGCGACGAUGGAGCCAGGAGUCGCCGAGGAGCAAAAGAGGGAAUUAGGUCACGGACGGCUCUGGGAGAAGCGAGCCACGCGGGCGCCAGCGUGGACUGCCAGCUUUGAUUUGAGUAGGUAAGUUAGUUAAGGGUGAUUUUGCAGGAAGGACCUUAUUUUUAGUUUAAUUCCGUUAGUUUUGAAACUUGUUUUUAAUUUGGAUUAUUUUCAUUCAGCACCCUAUGUAAUUCCCCUAUAAAAGGGCACCAUAUGUAUUUUUACUUUUAUCGAAUAAAAUACUAAAAAUUUCCCUUAAAUCGUUCCACUUCAUUUCCGUAAUCGCCGCAUCGCCGAUCGCUCCGGUCAUCGUCGAAUCCCUCCGCAUCCGACUCAACUCUUACAAUCCAGUCGCUCCGCACCUUCGUCGCAACAUCUCCGCUCCGGACUUCAUCUCUGCUGCUCAGAGAAUCCAAUCGAGAGGAAAUACGAUCUUUUGAUCACACUUCGUCUCUUUUCUAGAUCAGCUUCCCGAUCUUUGAAUCGGGGACUGUGGUUGAUCGCCCAGGUCAAAUCCUUCUCGAGCAGAGCCCCCUUCCGAUUCCUUGAUACCGGCUUGAUACUGUAUCAACUGGUGCUUUCAACAUUUUGUUUACUCAUUUUUCAGGAAAAUGACAACCGCUCCACAAGGCUUGCCGGAAGGCAUGGAAGCGACUGUCAAGAGACUUCAGACGUUUCAGAUGUCCCAGACCAAUGAACUGUCCGAGCUGAGGAAGUCAUUGAACCACAAUGUGCUGGAACUAGGGAAGCAAAUCUCUGAUUUAGCCUCUAUUAUCACCAACAAGAAAUCAGAUCUGCAAAAUAAUCAGACAGGGGAGACAUCAUAUGAACAAAUAAACAUCAACAGUUACCAAGAGGAAGUUAUUGCUCCUGUUGAUCCAGAGCGUCCUGCAUAUGCUGUGAGUAUGUAUGGUAAUGCAGACUAUACCCCAGCUAAACACAUUAAGUUUGAUAUGCCUAAAUUUAAUGGGAAAGACCCUGAGGCCUGGAUCUUCAUGGCUCGGAGGUUUUUCAUUUUUCAUAACACCCCGGAGGACCAGAAGUUGAUUAUUUCAUCAUUCAACAUGGUUGAUGUGGCUCUGAAGUGGUUUCUGUGGAUGGAAUCCAGCAAUUACUUAACCACUUGGCCUGCUUUUGUCAAGUCACUACUAAAAAAAUUCAAUCCUAGCACUUACACAAUCCCUGGAGGCAGAUUAAGUAAGAUAUCGCAGAUCACUACAGUGGCUGAAUUCGUGACAAGGUUUGAAGACUAUUCUUCAAAAGUGUUUGGGGUACCUGAUUGGCUCCUGUUGGAAAUGUUUAUCUCGGGUUUGAAGGAUGAGUAUCUAUCAGAGGUAGUUAAAGCUAAGCUUACCGAUAUUCAAGAGGCUAUGGAAUUGACGGUGCACCUAGAAAACCAAGGUUCAUCUACUGUUAGCUACAAGUCUGGUGGGUAUAGACCAAGUCCAGGAAGAUCCUUCAUUGGAAAAACUUCUGGAAAUAACAAUUUUGGCAGCAAUUUUGCAAUGAAUAAUCAGCCUGCUGCAAUGAAUAAAACCACCAAUGCUCCUAUUUUUAAGAGACUAUCUCCUGCUGAGAGAAGGGAGAGAACUAUCAAGGGUCUCUGUUUCAAUUGUGAUGAGAGGUUUGCACCAGGCCACAAGUGUAAGGGAAGAUUGUUCAGAUUAUCAGCAGAUGACAACACUCUAUGGGAGUUGGAAGGAGAUGAUACUGAGAUAGAAGGCAUAAAGGAAGAGGAACACAGUAUAAUAGAAGGAGUGGUAGAUACUGAAAUCAGCUUACAAGCAUACCAAGGCAAACUGGGGGUCAGAACCAUCAGGCUGGAUGGAUUCAUAAAAAACCAAGCUGUAAGUGUGUUGGUGGAUCCAGGGUCAACUCACAACUUCAUGCAAGUUGAUUUAGCUACAAGACUGCAGAUGAUAGUACAUGCAAUCAACCCAUUCAGAGUUUCUACUGGCAGUGGAGAGAAACUAUUGUGUGACAAAGUGUGUAAGCAGGUUCAGAUCAAGAUUCAAGGGGUAAUAAUUACUAUUGAUUUAUUCUUAUUACCUAUGGCAGGGUCCAAUAUAGUCAUCGGUACCCAAUGGCUCAAGGAAUUGGGUGACGUAGUUUCCAAUUACAAGGAGUUAUGUAUGAAGUUUGAAUGGGAAGGAAAAAGGGUAAUUUGGAAAGGUAUAUCUUGGCUGAAUAGUGACCCACUAACAAAUGGGCAGAUGAAAUCCUUGCAGGCAUCUACUUCUGAAGCAUACCUAUGCUACUUUGAAUAUGUAGAAGAACAACCAAACCUGAAUAAUCUAUCAUUAUCUGAGUCAGCAGUAGUAAAUCAGGUGGUGGAAGUUUUUCCUGAAAUAUUUGAAGAACCUAAGGGAUUGCCACCCCAAAGGGAAGUUGAUCAUUUUAUACAUUUAUAUCCCAAUUCAAGCCCCGUAAAUGUAAGGCCAUACAGAUUUCCCCAAUUUCAGAAAGGGGAAAUUGAGAGGUUAGUGAGAGAAUUACUGAAUCAGGGCACUGUUAGGCCAAGCACCAGCCCCUACUCAUCUCCAGUAUUGCUAGUCAAGAAGAAGGAUGGAGGUUACAGACUCUGUGUUGAUUACAGAGCCCUGAAUGCCAUCACUAUCAAGGAUAAGUUCCCAAUACCUACAGUUGAUGAACUAUUGGGUGAGUUGAAAGGAGCUGUAAUUUUCUCAAAGCUAGAUUUGAGAUCGGGAUUCCACCAAAUAAGGAUAAACCCCAAAGAUACUGAGAAAACAGCUUUCAGAACACACCAGGGUCACUAAGAAUUCUUGGUGAUGCCUUUUGGGCUGACCAAUGCCCCAGCUACAUUUCAGGCAGCCAUGAACAGGGUUUUUCAGAAAUAUCUGAGGAAGUUCAUCAUUAUUUUUUUGACGAUAUUCUAAUCUAUAGCACCUCAGUUGCUGAUCAUGUUAAGCAUCUGGAGCUCAUUUUCGAGUUGAUGAAAGAAAAUCAGUUGCUUGCAAAAAAAUCUAAAUGUUGCUUUGGCCAAGAAACCAUGGGAUUUUUGGGUCAUAUUAUUAGUAAAGAAGGUGUAAAUCCUGACCCCACAAAGAUUUCAGCCAUGUUGGAAUGGCCUACUCCAAAAAAUCUGAAACAGCUAAGAGGGUUUUUGGGCCUUACAGGUUAUUACAGGAAAUUUAUCAAGGGAUAUGCUCAAAUAGCUUCUGCCAUGACCGAUCUAUUAAAGAAGGAUUCCUUCUCCUGGUCUGAAUUGGCUACUCUAAGUUUUAACAGAUUAAAAGAAGCCAUGACUAAGGCUCCAGUGCUCAAAUUUCCUGAUUUUGAUAAAUUGUUUGUUGUAGAAAUUGAUGCAUGCAACACAGGUAUUGGAGCUGUUCUGCAACAGGAAGAGCAUCCUAUAGCUUUCUACAGUAAAAAGAUAGGAGGAAGGUUGGCUUCAGCUUCUAUAUACAUCAAGGAGAUGUUUGCAAUUACCCAAGCAGUGGGUAAGUGGAGGCAUUACUUACUUGGGAGCCAUUUUGUGAUCAAAACUGAUCACAGAAGUUUGAAAAACUUGCUAACACAGGUAAUUCAAACUCCAGAGCAACAAGUUUUUCUGUGUAAAUUGCUGGGUUAUGACUUCACUAUUCUCUAUAAACCCGGGAAGGAUAACAAGGUGGCAGAUGCCCUAUCUAGGUGCCAUGAAGAAGUGGAGAUUAUAUUCAGUAAUAAAGCUGAUAAUCAGAAGGGAUCCUUAUUAGCCCUAUCAGCUUCUAUGUGCUCAUUAGUAGAUGAGAUGAAGAGGGAGAAUGAACAGUCCCCGGAGACACAAAAUCUGAUUCAUAACAUCAACUCAAAUUCCAGAAAAAACUCAUAAUUUUACUGUGGGACAGGGGCUGGUAUUUUACAAGGGGAAGUAUUAUCUAAAGAAAAACUCCGAGAUAAUUCAAAAGCUCUUAAAGGAAUUCCAUGAUUCACCUUUGGGAGGACACUCAGGAAUAGAAAGAACCAUCAGAAGGAUCUCAAUUCAGUUUUGGUGGCAGGGCAUGUCUAAUGACAUCAGAAAUUAUGUUAAAAAAUGUUUGGUUUGCCAACAAAUGAAACCCCUUAAUCAAAAGGCAUAUGGGCUGUUAAUGCCACUUCCCAUUCCCCCUUCAGUGUGGCAUGACUUAUCUGUGGAUUUUAUCACUAAUCUUCCCAAAGUUCAAGGUAAAACAGUCAUAGUUGUGGUAGUGGACAGACUGUCAAAAUCAUGCCAUUUGGGAGCACUUCCAACAAGUUACACAGCCUCUAUGGUGGCAGAGUUCUUUGUAAAAGAAGUAGUUAGACUGCACGGCUACCCUAAUUCCAUAGUUUCUGAUCGAGACAGAGUAUUUCUCUCCAAAUUUUGGAAAGAGUUGAAUAAACUCAGUGGGACAACUCUAAACUUCUCUACUGCCUACCACCCUCAGAGUGACGGCCAAACCGAGGUGGUCAACAGAAGCAUCGAGAUGUAUCUGAGAUCACUAGCACAUGAAGAUCCCAAGAAAUGGCUAUCCCUACUCCCUUGGGCAGAGUUCUGGUUUAAUACUAACUAUAAUGUUUCUGUGGGACAAACACCAUUCCAAAUACUAUAUGGGAAGGAGGCCCCUAUAUUACCCGGUUAUGUUGAAGGAAAUUCGGCCAUAGAUGCAGUGGAUAGAGAACUGAAUGAUAGAGAAUUGGCCUUGGAAAUGGCGAAAAAUAACUUGAUCAAGGCACAAAAAAGAAUGAAAUCAAAUGCUGAUAAAAACAGGAAAGAAAUACAAUUCAAUGUGGGUGAUUGGGUUUUGGUUAAACUCAAAAGAUACAGGCAAAAUUCAGUAGCAAUACGACUCCAUAACAAGCUAAACAAGCGAUACUUUGGCCCAUACAAAAUUAAGGAAAAGAUUAGCAGGGUCGCUUACAGAGUAUCUCUGCCUAUAGGAAGCAGGAUCCAUGACUCGUUCCACAUCUCCCUGUUGAAGAAGUUUGUGGGUAGCCCACCUGAAGAGAAGGAGUUGACACCUAUAAUUGCAGUAAAGAGUGAGACAGUAUUAAUUCCAUUGGCCAUUGUUGAUUACAGGGUUAUUUACCGCAAGGAAAAUCAGGUUGCACAAGCACUGGUUCAGUGGUGCGGGGAACCGGUCGAGGAUUCAUCGUGGGAGGACGUCGAGGUGCUGCGCAAGCUCUUUCCAUCUAUACACCUUGAGGACAAGGUGGUUCUUCGAGAGGGGUAUCAUGUUACAGCGCCGGUGAACUCAAAGGAGGCGGUCAGAGACCUAGCGGAGACCUUGGACUUGAACGACGAAGUAACCGAAGAAGAAACGGUUGAAGAAGCAGCGACGAUGGAGCCAGGAGUCGCCGAGGAGCAAAAGAGGGAAUUAGGUCACGGACGGCUCCGGGAGAAGCGAGCCACGCGGGCGCCAGCGUGGACUGCCAGCUUUGAUUUGAGUAGGUAAGUUAGUUAAGGGUGAUUUUGCAGGAAGGACCUUAUUUUUAGUUUAAUUCCGUUAGUUUUGAAACUUGUUUUUUAUUUGGAUUAUUUUCAUUCAGCACCCUAUGUAAUUCCCCUAUAAAAGGGCACCAUAUGUAUUUUUACUUUUAUCGAAUAAAAUACUAAAAAUUUCCCUUAAAUCGUUCCACUUCAUUUCCGUAACCGCCGCAUCGCCGCAUCGCCGAUCGCCGAUCGCUCCGGUCAUCGUCGAAUCCCUCCGCAUCCGACUCAACUCUUACAAUCCAGUCGCUCUGCACCUUCGUCGCAACAUCUCCGCUCCGGACUUCAUCUCUGCUGCUCAGAGAAUCCAAUCGAGAGGAAAUACGAUCUUUUGAUCACGCUUCGUCUCUUUUCUAGAUCAGCUUCCCGAUCUUUGAAUCGAGGACUGUGGUUGAUCGCCCAGGUCAAAUCCUUCUCGAGCGGAGCCCCCUUCCGAUUCCUUGAUACCGGCUUGAUACUGUAUCACAUCCUUGUUUCGUAUCCUAAGACUAAAAUUUUACCAGUUUCUAUUUCUCUAGGAUUUUUCGUCCAUAUUUUAUAACAAUCGUUAAUAUAAUGAUUGUUGACUUCACAACGAAAAUAAGCAAAACCACGGCAAUAAUAAUCUAUAUUUUUUUGAAAACUAAAUUGAAUCCAGUUAAGUCGUUCGAGUCGUUAAUGUCAUUCGACAAUUAAAAGUAGUUGACUUAAUUUUUAUUGAAAAUGAAAAAAUAUUUACAAUCGUUAUAAUUAAAAUAUAAAUUUAUAAAAUUAAUCAAUUACAAUCAAUAUCGGAAAUAUCUCUAUUCGGUAUUUUAAGCACACUACUCUUCAGAUUAGACUUAUGGUCGGGCAUGGAUCCUCCGAAGCUUCUAUUUGCAGUCUCAGAUCUCUCCCAUCGCCUUUGAGACUGUUAAGAAAAAAAAUCACGAAGAGAAGCUAUUAAAUCUCCACAAUACUAAAAACAAACAUGCGCGGCCUAUCCCUGCACUUAUUGUCUCGAAGAACUGAACGUCGUGUCGUUGCCUCUGCUGUGAGAAGUAUGAGAAGAAAUCGGUGUUUAUGGCAUAUGUCAUCUACGACCUUUUGGAUAGCAAGCGUAUGAUUCUUAUUGUGUAUGUAAAUGGAUUUGCUCUUAUAUUGCCGCUAAGUUUCUACUUUUUCCAUGCAUUGUAAACAAUCGUGAUCACGCCAGCAGUUGAUAAUCAACACCGGGAAAAGGGGUUGCGGCAUGCAGGUAGAGGUAGGGUAUUAAAUAAAACCCGGCUCGGUGGGCUCGACUCGUUUAAACUCGGGCUCGCGAGCCCAACGAGCCGAGCCUGAAGCUCAAGCUCGUUAAGCUCGUUAAGCUCGGUAAGAAUAAGUAUAAAAAAGUGAAAAAAUAUUUUAUUUAAAGAUAAUGGAGGUGUAGCAUAGAUGGUAAAACGUUUGUUAAGCAUAUAUACAUGAGGUCAUGAGUUCGAUCUCCUAUAUCUUUAAAUUAAUAAUUAUUUUUUUUAAUUCGAGCGCCGGCUCGAGUCAGGAAAGUCUCUGACGAGCCAAGCUCGAGCCCAAAUGAUACCUUAACGAGCCAAGCCGAGCCCGAACCCGACUCUAUAAGCAAAAGUUCGGCUCGACUUAUUUGACACCCUAGGUAAAAGUGAUGUAUUUAUAUAAUAUCAGGGUUGUGGGGGGAUCUCUUUUUCCAUCCCCGUACCCAGCAUUUUUAUCAGGGCCGGAGGACUUGAUAAAAUGACCGACGGGACAGGUACCGGUACGGGGAUAGUGGAAUACCCGGUUAUAUUUAAAAAAAAUGAUUUCUGAUAUUUUUUUAAAUUUAAUAUCUGAUAUUUAUGAUAUUACAGAAAAAUGAAAAAUUUAAUAAUUAAAACAGAUCGUAAAUAUAAAUAAACAAUAACCUAAAUCUAAAUAUACAAAUUAUGACACCUCAAUAACACCUCAAAUUUUUUCGUAGAUCAUCAACCAUUAUUGGAACAUCUUUUUUUGAAAGCUCAAUAAAUUAUUCCUAUUCGAUUCAUCUUACUUAUAUGUUCAUUAUUACUUUUCCGGUGAUGGUGAUUUUGGUGGUUCCAUUGUCGGUAACGUAUGAGGGUAAAGAUAAUUUUGAUAUAUCGCGCUACGUACUGAUAUCAUCUAGGAUACCAUCAUUUUCAUUUGCUUCAUCUAUCUUACUAGAGAACAUCGCCAUUAAAUCUCCUGCUUCUUCAGUCCUGUUAUCAAAUCCUUCCCGUAUUGUUGGAAACCUCUCUUCACCAUUGUUUAAACUUCCGACCUCAUUAUUGCUACAGUAAAUGCUCGGGUCAAGGCUACCGUAAAGGGACGAUUCAGACAUGUUGUAAUUACCUCCAACUACGUUGGAAAUUGAAUAGUUAGUUCCUUCAACCGUAGGAUAAGUGUAAUGGGCAGUCGAAUCCAUUAUACCAGUGUAACCAUUUCCAUAAUCAUUACAGUUUCCUCCGAUCGGUAUAGCAUAUAUAUCGUUGUCUAUUUCUAGACCAGCACCAUUGGAACUAGCAUCAUUGAUAUCCAUACACAUCCGUUUAUUUUGCGGUUGUUACGCAAUGGGGGUUGUCGAUCUCUGUUGUUGCGUCUGAUUCUGAUGUGAUGGCGAAAUAUUUGAUCUCUCUCCUUCUGGCUCUCGAUACUUCUGCACCAACGUACGACGCAUCUAAAAAUUACCGUAUUUUUUUAUACCCUUUCCUUAAUAUCAUUUUUUUUAACCUUAGUCACCCAAUCCAUUGACCUAAUUUGAGUACCUUCUAGCUAAACCUUUAAAUGUUUUAAAAUUUAAUAUUUGAUAUUUAUGAUAUUACAGAAAAAUGAAAAAUUUAAUAAUUAAAACAUAAAUGAUCCUAAAUAUAAAUAAAGGAUAACCUAAAUCUAUUGAUCUUGAAAGCUCAAUAAAAUUAUUCCUAUUCGAUUCAUCUUACAUAUAUAUUCAUUAAUUACUUUCCCAGUGAUGGUUGUUGUGGUGGUCCCAUUAUCGGUAACGUAUUAGAGAUAAUUUUGAUAUAUCGCCCUACUGAUAUCACCUCCCAUACCUUCAUUUUUAUUUGCUUCAUCUAUCUUACUAGAGAACAUCGCCAUUAAAUCACCUGCUUCUUCAGUCCUGCUAUCACAUCUUUCCUGCAUUGUUGGAAACCUCUCGCCACCAUUCUUCAAACUUCCGAACUCAUUAUUGCUACGGUAAAUGCUCGGGUCAACGCCAGCGUAAAGGAACGAUUCAGACAUGCCAUAAUUACCUCCACCUAGGUUGGAAAUUGAAUAGCUAGUUUCUCCAACCGUAGGAUAAAUGUAAUGGGCAGUUGGAUCCAUCAUACCAGUGUAAUCAUUUCCAUAACCAUUACAGUUUCUUCCAAUCGGUAUAGUAUAUCUAUCGUUGUCUAUUCCGAGACCAGUACCACUAGAACUAGCACAAUUGAUAUCCAUACACAUCCGUUUAAUUGGUGGUUGUUGCGCAAGUGGGGGUUGUCUUUGUUGUUGUGGUUGAUGUGCCUGUUGCAGUUGUUGCGUCUGCUGUGAUGGGGAGUUAUUUGAUCUCUCUCCUUCUGACUCUCGAUACUUCUCCAAUUAAAUCUAAUGGAACAAAAUACAUUCGAAAAGAGAUUUAAUUAAGAUAAUGUCUGAUAGUUUG
rnacentral:lncRNA from 1 species